AUCCAGCUGGCGAGUCCCAAAAUAGGAGAAAACGCAUGUCCUGGAU
rnacentral:hammerhead_ribozyme from 1 species